GAUGAACGCUGGCGGCGUGCCUAAUACAUGCAAGUCGAGCGAACAGACGAGGAGCUUGCUCCUCUGACGUUAGCGGCGGACGGGUGAGUAACACGUGGAUAACCUACCUAUAAGACUGGGAUAACUUCGGGAAACCGGAGCUAAUACCGGAUAACAUGUUGAACCGCAUGGUUCAACAGUGAAAGACGGUCUUGCUGUCCCUUAUAGAUGGAUCCGCGCCGCAUUAGCUAGUUGGUAAGGUAACGGCUUACCAAGGCAACGAUGCGUAGCCGACCUGAGAGGGUGAUCGGCCACACUGGAACUGAGACACGGUCCAGACUCCUACGGGAGGCAGCAGUAGGGAAUCUUCCGCAAUGGGCGAAAGCCUGACGGAGCAACGCCGCGUGAGUGAUGAAGGUCUUCGGAUCGUAAAACGCUGUUAUUAGGGGAGAACAAAUGUGUAAGUAACUAUGCACGUCUUGACGGUACCUAAUCAGAAAGCCACGGCUAACUACGUG
rnacentral:rRNA from 1 species